UACAGAGGGUGCAAGCGUUGUUCGGAAUUACUGGGCGUAAAGGGCUCGUAGGUGGCCAACUAAGUCAGACGUGAAAUCCCUCGGCUUAACCGGGGAACUGCGUCUGAUACUGGAUGGCUUGAGUUCGGGAGAGGGAUGCGGAAUUCCAGGUGUAGCGGUGAAAUGCGUAGAUAUCUGGAGGAACACCGGUGGCGAAGGCGGCAUCCUGGACCAAUACUGACACUGAGGAGCGAAAGCCAGGGGAGCAAACGGGG
rnacentral:rRNA from 1 species